CCUGUAGGUGAAAGUCAAGAUAAUCAAGUUCUGAUCCAGAGUACCACGAGACACGUGAAACCUUGUGGGAAGCAGGGAGGACCACCUCCCAAGGCUAAAUACUACCUGAUGACCGAUAGUGAAGCAGUACCGUGAGGGAAAGGUGAAAAGAACCCCGGGAGGGGAGUGAAAUAGAACCUGAAACCGUGUGCCUACAACCGGUCAAAGCCCCUUAUGAGGGUGAUGACGUGCUUUUUGUAGAACGAGCCAACGAGUUACGGUAUGUAGCAAGGUUAAGUACUUAAGGUACGGAGCCGAAGGGAAACCGAGUCUUAAUAGGGCGACUAGUUGCAUGCCGUAGACCCGAAACCGGGUGACCUAUCCAUGGCCAGGUUGAAGCGAGGGUAAAACUUCGUGGAGGACCGAACCACGUUGCUGUUGAAAAAGCAUGGGAUGAGCUGUGGAUAGCGGAGAAAUUCCAAUCGAACUCGGAGAUAGCUGGUUCUCCCCGAAAUAGCUUUAGGGCUAGCGUCGGAUAUGUGUAGUGGAGGUAGAGCACUGAAUGGGCUAGGGGGCAUAGCGCUUACCGAACCUUAUCAAACUCCGAAUGCCACAUACAUUAAGUCCGGCAGUCAGACUACGAAUGAUAAGAUCCGUGGUCAAAAGGGAAACAGCCCAGAUCGUCAGCUAAGGUCCCAAAGUGUAAGUUAAGUGGAAAAGGAUGUGGGAUUUCUAAGACAACUAGGAUGUUGGCUUAGAAGCAGCCACUCAUUUAAAGAGUGCGUAAUAGCUCACUAGUCGAGAGAUCCUGCGCCGAAAAUGUCCGGGGCUAAAACUUACCACCGAAGCUACGGGCUUGCGUAAGCAAGCGGUAGGGGAGCGUCGUAAUCGGGCUGAAGUCGUACCGUAAGGAGCGGUGGACUGAUUACGAGUGAGAAUGUUGGCAUUAGUAGCGAGAUGUAGGUGAGAAUCCUACAGGCCGAAUAUCUAAGGUUUCCUCAGGAAGGCUCGUCCGCUGAGGGUUAGUCGGGACCUAAGCCGAGGCCGAAAGGCGUAGGCGAUGGACAAUCGGUUGAUAUUCCGAUACCACUACCAUCGUUAUUAUCGAGGGUGUGACGGAGAAGGAUAGUGUGUGCUAGCGAUUGGAAAUGCUAGUCUAAGCGUUUAGGGAGUUACGGUAGGCAAAUCCGCUGUAACAAUUCUGAGGCGUGAUGGGGAAGGCCAUAUAGGCCGAAGUACAUGAUUCCAUGCUUCCAAGAAAAGCAUCUAGAGAGAGAAGUAGUGCCCGUACCGCAAACCGACACAGGUAGAUGAGGAGAGAAUCCUAAGGCCGGCGGAAGAAUUGCAGUUAAGGAACUAGGCAAAUUGACCCCGUAAGUUCGCGAGAAGGGGUGCCUGCGAGAGCAGGCCGCAGAGAAUAGGCCCAAGCAACUGUUUAGCAAAAACACAGGUCUCUGCUAAAGCGCAAGCUGAUGUAUAGGGGCUGACGCCUGCCCGGUGCUGGAAGGUUAAGGGGAACACUUAGCGCAAGCGAAGGUGUGAACUUAAGCCCCAGUAAACGGCGGCCGUAACUAUAACGGUCCUAAGGUAGCGAAAUUCCUUGUCAGGUAAGUUCUGACCCGC
rnacentral:rRNA from 1 species